UAUUUAAAUUAAUGAUUGAGAUUGAUCCUGUCUUUAAUUUUUCUGUUAUUUGUGGAUUGGUUUAUAAAUGAUAUUAAAUACAAGUUUUUGCUAGUUAUUCUCUAUUGUCUUAA
rnacentral:rRNA from 1 species